rnacentral:rRNA from 1 species
AUUGAACGCUGGCGGAAUGCUUUACACAUGCAAGUCGAGCGGCAGCGCGGGGGCAACCCUGGCGGCGAGCGGCGAACGGGUGAGUAAUACAUCGGAACGUGUCCUUAAGUGGGGGAUAGCUCGGCGAAAGCCGGAUUAAUACCGCAUAAGCUCUGAGGAGGAAAGCGGGGGCUCCGUAAGGACCUCGCGCUGUUGGAGCGGCCGAUGUCGGAUUAGCUAGUUGGUGGGGUAAAGGCCCACCAAGGCGACGAUCCGUAGCUGGUCUGAGAGGAUGAUCAGCCACACUGGAACUGAGACACGGUCCAGACUCCUACGGGAGGCAGCAGUGGGGAAUUUUGGACAAUGGGGGCAACCCUGAUCCAGCCAUUCCGCGUGAGUGAAGAAGGCCUCGG